UACGUAGGGUGCGAGCGUUAAUCGGAAUUACUGGGCGUAAAGCGUGCGCAGGCGGUUUUGUAAGACAGGCGUGAAAAUCCCCCGAGCUUAACUUGGGAAUGGCGCUUGUGACUGCAAGGCUAGGAGUAUGUCAGAGGGGGGUAGAAUUCCACGUGUAGCAGUGAAAUGCGUAGAUAUGCGGAGGAACACCGAUGGCGAAGGCAAUCCCC
rnacentral:rRNA from 1 species